AUACAACAGUGCCCUUCUAAAUAGACUUCUCAAUGCUGAUUUCUUGUAAGCCAUCAAGUCUUUUGACCAUCUCAGUAUUAGCACAGCCUGAACUAGUGAACGAUGGGUUGGCCUGGGAGCCUUUCGCGGCUUGGAGGUGUGUGCUAGGGAGUGGGGGGACGGUUGAGUCUGGCUGGGAGUGGGAGGGCGGCGGUGGCAAGGUGGAGUUUGUACAUGAAGGGUGGGAGAGCACCAAUGAAGGGUUGGAGCCUCUGGUGUGAUUGAGGAGCUUGAUGGACGGUGCGAGGCGGGAGGGGCUGGGAGAUGUGCAGGUG
rnacentral:lncRNA from 1 species